rnacentral:rRNA from 1 species
CAAUAGCGUAUAUUAAAGUUGUUGCGGUUAAAAGCUCGUAGUUGGAUUUCUGCCGAGGACGACCGGUCCGCCCUCUGGGUGAGCAUCUGGCUCGGCCUUGACAUCUUCUUGGUGAACGUUGCUGCACUUGACUGUGUGGUGCGGUACCCAGGACUUUUACUUUGAGGAAAUUAGAGUGUUUCAAGCAGGCUCACGCCUUGAAUACAUUAGCAUGGAAUAAUAAGAUAGGACCUUGGUUCUAUUUUGUUGGUUUCUAGAGCUGAGGUAAUGAUUAAUAGGGAUAGUUGGGGGCAUUCGUAUUUAACUGUCAGAGGUGAAAUUCUUGGAUUUAUGAAAGACUAACUACUGCGAAAGCAUUUGCCAAGGAUGUUUUCAUUGAUCAAGAACGAAAGUUAGGGGAUCGAAGACGAUCAGAUACCGU